CCAGGUCUCUGUUCUCCUACUAAUCUCACUGUAACCUCCUCCAGGUCUCUGUUCUCCUAUUAAUCUCACUGUGACCUCCUCCAGGUCUCUGUUCUCCUACUAAUCUCACUGUGACCUCCUCCAGGUCUCUGUUCUCCUACUAAUCUCACUGUAACCCCCUCCAGGUCUCUGUUCUCCUACUAAUCUCACUGUAACCCCCUCCAGGUCUCUGUUCUCCUACUAAUCUCACUGUGACCUCCUCCAGGUCUCUGUUCUCCUACUAAUCUCACUGUGACCUCCUCCAGGUCUCUGUUCUCCUACUAAUCUCACUGUAACCCCCUCCAGGUCUCUGUUCUACUAAUCUCACUGUAACCCCCCUCCAGGUCUCUGUUCUCCUACCAAUCUAACUGUAACCUCCUCCAGGUCUCUGUUCUCCUACUAAUCUCACUGUAACCCCCUCCAGGUCUCUGUUCUCCUACUAAUCUAACUGUAACCUCCUCCAGGUCUCUGUUCUCCUACUAAUCUAACUGUAACCUCCUCCAGGUCUCUGUUCUCCUACUAAUCUCCCUGUAACCCCCUCCAGGUCUCUGUUCUCCUACUAAUCUCCCUGUAACCCCCUCCAGGUCUCUGUUCUCCUACUAAUCUCCCUGUAACCCCCUCCAGGUCUCUGUUCUCCUACUAAUCUCCCUGUAACCCCCUCCAGGUCUCUGUUCUCCUACUAAUCUCACUGUAACCCCCUCCAGGUCUCUGUUCUCCUACUAAUCUCACUGUGACCUCCUCCAGGUCUCUGUUCUCCUACUAAUCUCACUGUAACCCCCUCCAGGUCUCUGUUCUCCUACUAAUCUCACUGUAACCCCCUCCAGGUCUCUGUUCUCCUAUUAAUCUCACUGUGACCUCCUCCAGGUCUCUGUUCUCCUACUAAUCUCACUGUGACCUCCUCCAGGUCUCUGUUCUCCUACUAAUCUCACUGUAACCCCCUCCAGGUCUCUGUUCUCCUACUAAUCUAACUGUAACCUCCUCCAGGUCUCUGUUCUCCUACUAAUCUCACUGUAACCCCCUCCAGGUCUCUGUUCUACUAAUCUCACUGUAACCCCCCUCCAGGUCUCUGUUCUCCUACCAAUCUAACUGUAACCUCCUCCAGGUCUCUGUUCUCCUACUA